GAUGAACGCUAGCUACAGGCUUAACACAUGCAAGUCGAGGGGCAGCAUGGUCUUAGCUUGCUAAGGCCGAUGGCGACCGGCGCACGGGUGAGUAACACGUAUCCAACCUGCCGUCUACUCUUGGACAGCCUUCUGAAAGGAAGAUUAAUACAAGAUGGCAUCAUGAGUUCACAUGUUCACAUGAUUAAAGGUAUUCCGGUAGACGAUGGGGAUGCGUUCCAUUAGAUAGUAGGCGGGGUAACGGCCCACCUAGUCUUCGAUGGAUAGGGGUUCUGAGAGGAAGGUCCCCCACAUUUGAACUGAGACACGGUCCAAACUCCUACGGGAGGCAGCAGUGAGGAAUAUUGGUCAAUGGGCGAGAGCCUGAACCAGCCAAGUAGCGUGAAGGAUGACUGCCCUAUGGGUUGUAAACUUCUUUUAUAAAGGAAUAAAGUCGGGUAUGUAUACCCGUUUGCAUGUACUUUAUGAAUAAGGAUCGGCUAACUCCGUG
rnacentral:rRNA from 1 species